CUGAUCACUUGUCUCGGUUUCGUUUCCAGGCUUUCCUCUCGAUACUACCCAAUGCUUCCAGACGAGCGACCUCUAUUCGGAGACAUGAUAAUGGAUUAAAGACUUUGUUAGAUUACGCACGUCACAUUUCUCAUCUGGCACUCUCAGUAAACACUAGGAACACUUAUGAUAGGAUUUUCCAUGUAUUCACGAAAUGUAUCACCAAGUUUCACAUCCACGACAUGUUUGCGUUAGAAAUGAUUUUAAGUUUUACUUCUUUUUGCCACAUCAACCUUAAACUAUCCUUUAAUACCAUUAAACUGUACCUUAGCGGCAUCCAGCACCAUAUGCUUAUCCAACAACCUAACACUACGGAUUUCUUGACAUCAUAUCAAAUAAAAACAUUACUUAACCCCUUAAGGACCAAACUUCUGGAAUAAAAGGGAAUCAUGACAUGUCACACAUGUCAUGUGUCCUUAAGGGGUUAAAGGCAUUAAAAAAAUUAGAUACACAUGUUCCCUCACAAAGACUACCCAUAUACAACAACAUAUUCCACUCUCUAUCCAACUUAUUAGAUUCAUCUCCUUUUGAACCCAUGACCAAUAACAUAAUAAAAACAGCCCUAUAUCUCGCUUUUUACGGGUUCCUACGUCCCAGUGAAUUUACAACCACGACCAUCACAGCACACGAUUACCUAAGAAGUAAUGAUUUACAAAAACAUACCGACCAUUACAUUCUCUCCCUAAGACAAUCAAAAACCAGCACCGAAGGACACACUAUUCAAAUUCCUCUGUACCCUACUCCCAAUAUAUGGUGCCCAGUAAAAGUUUUGGAUACUUAUUCCCUUUCAGUCCAAAAACAACCCCAACAGCCUUUGUUUGAACUGCAUGGACACACUCUGACCACAGCUAAAUUCAUGCUAAACCCUAAUCAAUUUUCAGGUCACUCUUUCCGUAUAGGGAAAUCAUAUUAUUAAGGCUAUGGGACGCUGGAAAUAUUCCACCUACACACUCUACAUACCUAAUCCCGUUAAAGAAUUAAGACAAGCUUUUUGUGACUUAUCUCAAUAAACGAAGUUGGUUCACGAAUUAUGUUUCCU